rnacentral:rRNA from 1 species
GAUGAACGCUAGCUACAGGCUUAACACAUGCAAGUCGAGGGGCAUCAGGAAGAAAGCUUGCUUUCUUUGCUGGCGACCGGCGCACGGGUGAGUAACACGUAUCCAACCUGCCCUUUACUCGGGGAUAGCCUUUCGAAAGAAAGAUUAGUACCCGAUGGCAUAAUGAUUCCGCAUGGUUUCAUUGUUAAAGGAUUCCGGUAAAGGAUGGGGAUGCGUUCCAUUAGGUUGUUGGUGAGGUAACGGCUCACCAAGCCUUCGAUGGAUAGGGGUUCUGAGAGGAAGGUCCCCCACAUUGGAACUGAGACACGGUCCAAACUCCUACGGGAGGCAGCAGUGAGGAAUAUUGGUCAAUGGGCGCUAGCCUGAACCAGCCAAGUAGCGUGAAGGAUGAAGGCUCUAUGGGUCGUAAACUUCUUUUAUAUAAGAAUAAAGUGCAGUAUGUAUACUGUUUUGUAUGUAUUAUAUGAAUAAGGAUCGGCUAACUCCGUGCCAGCAGCCGCGGUAAUACGGAGGAUCCGAGCGUUAUCCGGAUUUAUUGGGUUUAAAGGGAGCGUAGGUGGACUGGUAAGUCAGUUGUGAAAGUUUGCGGCUCAACCGUAAAAUUGCAGUUGAUACUGUCAGUCUUGAGUACAGUAGAGGUGGGCGGAAUUCGUGGUGUAGCGGUGAAAUGCUUAGAUAUCACGAAGAACUCCGAUUGCGAAGGCAGCUCACUGGACUGCAACUGACACUGAUGCUCGAAAGUGUGGGUAUCAAACA